GGAGAUGGACAUGGACAGGGGCUGAAACUGCAGUACCAGCAGAUGGGGAGCUUAAGAAGGAAGCUAGUUCAUGGCACAGCACCCGUAAAGUCCCCAGAAUUGGAGGCACCAGAUUCUUCUGAAAGAAAAGGAGCAAUUCAGCACUUGUCAUGCAGAUAAGAGGUCAACACCCCAGGACGGAGUGAAAACCUAAGGGUCAUCAAGACAGGAGGAUAUGAGGCAGAAUCACCACACAAGCUAACCUGAUGUACAUAUGACAUUAAUCCAAUAGACUUAGGAAUAAGAUACAGGGGGUUUUCCUGAAUGAUUCGAGUAUAUCCCCAUUCAUAUUAAGAAAACAAAGUAUUGGCCAAGCGUGGUGGCUCACGCCUGUAAUCCCGGCACUUUGGAAGGCCGAGGCCAGUGGAUCACCUGAGAUGGACUCAACGACUCUCUUACCGUCCAGCUCUCAAGUCCCUUCUCUUGUGAAAAUGGAAAAGUUGAACUACAGUUGAGAUAUUAUUCCCAGGUGUUCUUUGGAACACAGGGGAUUUCUCCAAAAGGCACAGAACAAAUUGCCUCCAAACAGCCAAGAUUCCAGCAGAAGCUGGAGUAGCAGACUACUUGGAUCUUCAAAGUACCUGGCCCUGAGUCAGUUAAGGAAGAUCUUUUCUUCUCUUUUGUACAAUCCUAUGAUGAGAGCUGCAAAGUGAACUGACUAAGAGCUUCUGCCUUGAUCAUUGACCUCCCAAUCCUAAUAAUAUGUUCACUGGCCAAACUUCCUAAUCGAUUUGUCUUUUGGAUAUAACGUUCCUCCUACUGUUUGCCUGAUUGAGAAAUCUGCUACAGAACAUGACCGGUUAGCAUUCCCACCAACCCCAGUGCUACACUGACUGUCUUUCGAUGGACUUUGCUCCUUGCUGCCUCUCUGAGGUCCCAGACCUUCAGAGUGACCUUCACAGCUCUGCCUAACUUUCUGUCAUACUUCUAUCAAGAGAGACAGCUAAAUCAAUAUUUUUAAUGUGCUUUGCUGUCGGAAUUCGAUGAUCUGUCACAGUUCUUGCCCAAUACACCCCAUCAUUAUUGUUAAAAUGUUUUUAGCUUUGUUUGUAGAAUUGCUUUAACUGGUUUCAUCUCUGGGAGCUACACUUUGAAAUAUAACUUUAGCAACAUUUUACUAUACUUUUUCACAACCCAGAGCAGUACUAUUUUAUGCUUAGUGGUUAAACUAAUUCCAUAAAUCUUUUGCAACUAUCCUCUAUUCUUUUUCUUGUAAUUUUUACCUGGGAAGGUUUUUACUGAUAAUCAUCCUAUCCUGAGUCAUCCCACAAACCAAUCUGUCUCACUAAUCAUUGCUUCUAACCUACAGACUAAGCAUAACUUCUGCUAAAUGAUCUUUGAUAAGAUGCUAUGACUCUAUAAAGUCUUUGAUAUUCAUGUCUAAAUUUAAUCACUUGUAGAUUUUCAUAGAAUCAAUCUUUCACUUCUACAAUUGGGAGUAUUUAUAAGUUGUUUAUCUUAAACAGUUCCUCUAUCACGCUUUUCACGUUAAAUAAAGCAAUCCCUUCAAAUCAA
rnacentral:lncRNA from 1 species